rnacentral:tRNA from 1 species
GUGGCUCAGUGGUAGAGUUCUUGUCUUGCAUGCAUGAGGCCCUGGGUUCAAUUCCUCAGC